UGAACUGAAGAUGUUUCAGGUGGAUGAGGCGGCAAGUUCGUAGAAGGGAACCGACGGGAACUUGGAUUAGAAAUUGAUGCAUGUGAUUCUGAAUGAGUAGGAGAUGGUGAGCAAGAAAUUGAAGGUGCAGAAGCUUUAUAAAGGUCAUAACUCCAACUAUGUGGUCUCGAGAAUGGCAAGGAUGAUGGAGAACCGUGAGACACAGGAAGAGAGGGGAACCUUUUCAGUG
rnacentral:misc_RNA from 1 species